rnacentral:pre_miRNA from 1 species
GCGGCAGAAAUGGGGGCUCCUUUCAGCCCAGAAACAAUAAUGACAAAAUAUUUUGAUUAUUUUCGUUGUUUGGACUGAAGGGAGCUCCUAAUUCUUCUG